rnacentral:lncRNA from 1 species
UGGACAGCUUAUGAUUUUUAAAAAUUAAUAUUUAGCAUUAUAUUUUGUUUCCUAGAAGUCAUUAUAAACAAAGAAGAAAUAGUGAGAGUUUUGAUGAAAGAUGUAUCAGUCUUCUGAAAGCGCAGAGCAGUUGGAGAAGCAGAGUGCUCUUGAAGGAAAACUUAACAAGUUGCUCAAACACCUGCUUGCCAUGAGGCAAACACUGAGCUGAAUAUUUGCCCCAGGACAGGAGUCCUGGGAGAGAGCUUACCACAUCCUCCCAGCAGCGGAUAAAUCAUGUGACUAGAUGUCAUCAAUCUCUGGAGGAAUGCAAUAGUGAGUUGCUUAUUUUGACACUUCUUGUGCCAUCUGUGCCGUGGGUGAGUUACAAUGCAAGGCUCUGUAUUUGGAAUUUCAGCGAUUAACAAAAGUGAAUUUAGAAAAGCUU